rnacentral:snRNA from 1 species
AUACUUCAGCAGCAUAAAUACUAAAACUGGAACAAUACAGAGAAGAUUAGCAUGGCCCCUUUGCAAGGAUGACAUGCCAAGUCAUGAAUUCCAGGUCAGCCUG